rnacentral:rRNA from 1 species
UUUGGUGGAGCAUGUGGUUUAAUUCGAUGCAACGCGAAGAACCUUACCUGGCCUUGACAUACUAAGAACUUUCCAGAGAUGGAUUGGUGCCUUCGGGAACUUAGAUACAGGUGCUGCAUGGCUGUCGUCAGCUCGUGUCGUGAGAUGUUGGGUUAAGUCCCGCAACGAGCGCAACCCUUUUCCUUAUUUGCCAGCGAGUAAUGUCGGGAACUUUAAGGAUACUGCCAGUGACAAACUGGAGGAAGGCGGGGACGACGUCAAGUCAUCAUGGCCCUUACGGCCAGGGCUACACACGUGCUACAAUGGAA